CCUACGGGUGGCAGCAGUGGGGGAUAUUGCACAAUGGGGGGAACCCUGAUGCAGCGACGCCGCGUGGGUGAAGAAGCGCCUCGGCGCGUAAAGCCCUGUCAGCAGGGAAGAAAAUGACGGUACCUGAAGAAGAAGCCCCGGCUAACUACGUGCCAGCAGCCGCGGUAAUACGUAGGGGGCAAGCGUUAUCCGGAUUUACUGGGUGUAAAGGGGGCGCAGACGGCGAUGCAAGCCAGGAGUGAAAGCCCGGGGGCCAACCCCGGGACGGCUCUUGGAACUGCGUGGCUGGAGUGCAGGAGGGGCAGGCGGAAUGCCUGGUGUAGCGGUGAAAUGCGUAGAUAUCAGGAGGAACACCGGUGGCGAAGGCGGCCUGCUGGACUGCAACUGACGUUGAGGCCCGAAAGCGUGGGGAGCAAACAGGAUUAGAUACCCUUGUAGUC
rnacentral:rRNA from 1 species